ensembl:lncRNA
CUUGUGUUUGUGGGAGUUCUCACAUUUUCUACUAGCGAGCUUUUUACACAAUGACCUAAAACCCCUCUUAAUUGGCCACUGCCCAUAAAUCAGUAAAACUGCACAAUUUUGAGCAUUACUUUAGUCCAUUUAUUAAAAUUCCAAUUACACAGUUUGGAUAAGGGAGUAUUGUUAGGGAUUACUUUUAUUUGAGUCAGCAAUUUGCAUGAUGUCUGCUGGAAAAUCAACAGAGGGUAUCAGAUCACAUGAAUUGGUUUCUUAGAAAGGGCAGAAAUAUGUCCUUAUCAUGGUCAUUCCUGCCAUGAGUUCCUCUAGUCUCCAAACUUUGAAUUGGGGCCCUCUGUGAACUCUCUUUACUGUCUACUCUUUACUUAAGAUAGCUUGAAGCAUCCAUAUAACCAGGAAACUAAAGUCUGUAAGAGAACAAUGAACACACACAAGUAGGCUAUUACUCCAGAUCCUCCUUGAUUUUUCCUAACUUACUCCUGCUUUAGUGGAGUUAUUCAGAUGGUUUCAAAUCUAAACUUCAACUUUUUCCUCUAUGAUGUUGCAUUUGGAUUAAGACAAUCAGCUUUUUUCUUCUCAUAGAUGGCCUCGAAUCAUUUGGCUACAAUAGCUAUCUUUUGGGACUCUUCUUCCAGUCAUGGCCACAUUCUUCUUGCAGAUGAGCUGGUGGGUUACCACAAUACUGUCUGCUGACUGGUGCCUUUUAUUUGAUAUCUCAGGGCUUAUGAUACUCCAGAGUGCAUCCACCAUGUCACAGAAAAAUCCUGAAGGACAAGGAUUUCUCAGGCCCUUUACUCUUCUAGAUGCUUAGUGCUCUUCCAGAAUUUUCAAAGCUUCAAUACUGUCAUAAUACAUGAUCAUCACUGAUUUGUAUUUAUCCAUGAAUAAUGCAGAAAGCAUAAAUAAUCACGAUUUUAAUCAUUGAGAUAAUGCACCCUAGGCAUAGUCAAAAGGGCAACGAGUGCCAAACUCCUUUGACACAUUUGAGUAAGGAUUUAUAUAUUCAUAAUCACCAUCUACGUCUGUCAAGCUUCCAGUUUGCCAGUUAUUAAUAAUUGGAUGAAUGCUGAUGUACCGUUUAAACAAAAGCAAUUUCCUAGAAGACCCUCCCCAUUCCAGGAGAUGCAGUGAGGUACUAGCAGUGAUAUAUGCCUCUACUAAUAUCUCCUCUGUCCACUGCUGCUCUAACAGGAAAGCAGGAGAAGAGGCUGGGUGACUCAGUUUUCUCAUGUGAUGUAUUAAGCCUCAUUCCAGGCUACAGGUUUCUAACGACCCACAUGUAAGUCAGCUGAAUAAGAAAAUUCUUAUGUUCACACUCCUUUCAGCCACUGAUAUUUUUAAGUCAAAAAAGCAAAGAUGGAGCACUUAACUAUCAUUUCUUCUUGUGGCUAAGAUUACUGUUUACAAACGGGAAAUGUUCAAUUUCUCUGACUACUGAAACAGAAAGUUACAAAGUUUGACAGGUGGAGCUUCAAAAUUGUUUCAUAAAUACAUAACUUCUUUCUCCUUAGAAGUUAGCAGAGGGUGACAGGGACAUCAGCAAGUGAGUUUUUCAGUGACUCUAACUAGUGCCAUUUUUCCUUAUCUUUCAGAAUACUUCAUCUUCUCAAUUCUUCACGAGAUUAUAACAUCCUGAAGUUCAGUCUUUGCAGAGUUUUUUCUGACAUAUCUUUUUAUUCAGGCAAGACAAUGAUAGCUGCAUUUCUGAAGACUGCUGUGGAAGAAGUAUCCAGUGAGUUCCAGUUUCGGAAUUGGUGUGUAAAGAGCUUAGAAGUCAUCCACUACAAAAUAAGAAAAAAGCUGAACAAACUGCAAACCAACAACUGUUCUUGGAUCCAUCGUAGAAUUGAGAACACAGGGCAAACUACUACCCUAAAAAAGUAGAGACACACAUAGGCAGAUAUGAAGAAUCUGAACUUAGCAGAGCCAAAACCUACAAGGAAAAACCUCCUGAGAACCAGCACCAGGGCAGGAAAAUCAAAAUUCUAAUUGAUGAGUUACUGGAAGUUCAGUGUGGACAAGUCUGAGGAUUUAAAACUAAAGAGUGCCUAGUCUCAGGUGCACCUACAGGUUUUUGUGAGUUUUAUCUCCAGGAGACCUACCAGGUUCUCACAGUGAAGAUUGCAAGAAAAAUCCCCUCAUGUUUCCAGAAGGGAAAGGAGUAAGUUGCCAUUUUGAGAUGUGUUCAGAACAUUUUAUUCUUCUUAACACGACCUAAUCUCAAAAAUAACUAUUUCACCAGAUUCUAACCAACUGGGAUUUUAUCUAAAAGACGUGGAGGAAGAGAAAUACCCAACUCCAGCCCUCUCUAGCUUUCCUGUCACACCUAAGGUGGGAGAGGGAACUGAAAAGCACUUGUGACAGUCACAGCUCAGGGCCCUAAGCUCACCAAAGGAAUAAAGCCUAAUCAUAGAACCAUUGGACUCUUCAUCCUCACACCUUACACCACAUUAACAGGGCUCCUAUAUAAUAACAUGGGAAUGCAAAUGAACGAACUAUAUGUCUCACACCUUAUUUAAGAAAAAGUUUCAAGAGAAGCCCAAAGACAACUGGAGAGACAAAAACAAAGAAAAAUUUUAGCCCGUGACAGCUACAGUUACAGCAAACAAUAAGCACAGCCCAAUACCUAGCCAGAUAAACAUAAAACCUUACAGUAAAGGCCUGCGUGCCUUAUUUUUUUAAUCCAGUACAUCAUGUCCAGCUUUCAAAAAAAAUUGCAAGACAUACUAAAGACAAAAGACAAAGUUUGAAGAGACAGAGAGAGCAAGCAUCAGAAGCAAACUCAGAUAUGUCAGAGAUGUUGGAAUUAUUAGUCUGAGAAAUUAAAAUAACCAUGAUUAAUAUACUAAGGGCUUUAAUGGAAAACGUGUAGAAUAUACAAAAAAAGACAAUGUAAUAUAAGCAGAAAGAUGGAAACUUUAAGAAAGAAUCAAAAGGAAAUAUUAGAAGUCAAAAGCACUAUAACAGAAAUGAAUCAUACCUUUGAUGGCGCCAUUAGUAGCCUGGACCUAGCUGAGGAAAGAAUCUGUGAGCUUAAAAUAAUGUCAAUAGAAACUUCCAAAACUGAAAUUCAAAGGGAAAAACAAUGAAAAAGGUAAAACAAAAUAUCCCAGAAUUGUAGGACAUUUACAAAAGGUGUAACACACAUAAUUGGCAUACCAGAAGGAAAAGAAAGAAAAGAAAAUAAGAAGCAUUUGAAGUAAUAAUGACUGAAAAUUUCUCCCAAAUUGACGAAAACAAAUUACAGAUCUAAGUUUCUCAGAGAACACUGAGCAGGAUAAAUACCAAAAACUCUACAUCUACACAUAUCAUAUUCAAACUGCAGAAAAUCAAUAACAAAGAGAAAAUUCAAAGAAAAAACACCUUACUUGUAGAGAAGCAAGGAUAAGAAUUACAUCAGACUUCAGUUCAGAAACCAUGCAAGCAAGAAGAGAAUGAAAUAUUUAAAGUGUUUAAAAAAGAAGAAGAAGAUAAAGCAAUACCAACCUAGAAUUCUGUAUUCAGCAAAAUUAUUUUUCCGAUGGGAAAGAGAAACAAAGACUUUCUCAGAGAAGCAAAAAAUGAGGAAUUUGUUACCAGUAGACCUGCCUUGCAAGAAAUGUUAAAAGAGAUACUUCAGGAAGAAGAAAAAUAUAAAAGUCAGAGACUCAAGUCUACGAAAGGAAAGGAAGUACAUGAGAGAAGGAAUAAAUGAAGACAAAAUUAAAUCUUUAAUUUUUCUCAUUCUUAGAUGAUUUACUAUGCAACAAUUUGCUCAAAUACUAAUAGCAGCAAUGUAUUAAUCAGUGAUUAUAGCUUAUGGAUAAGUGCAAUGAAUGACAGCAAUGCUGCCAGGGACAGAAGAAAGUAAUUAGGAAUACACUGAUAUAAGGUACUUGCACUACCUGUGAAAGGUUAUAGUGUUAUUGAAAGAAGACUCGGAUUUAAUUGCAAAUUUAUAUUGCAAACUCAAGGACAAUUGCUAAAACGAGUUUCAAAAAGGUAUAAAUGAUAUACUAAGAGAGGGAAAAACUGGAAUCGUAUAAAAUGUUCAACUAAAAAUCAGAAAAAAACAAAAGAAUGGAAGACAAAAAAUAAUAAAAGAAAGGGUAAUGAAUAGAAACAGUAACAAAUAUGGUAGAUAUUAAUCCAAAAUAUCAACAAUCACUUUAAAUGUCAAUGGUUAAAUAUAUGAAUUAAAAAAUAGAGAUUCUCAGAGUGACUAAAAAAUAAGAUACGUUGUCUACCAGAAACUUGCUUUUAAUAUAAAGACACAGACCAAAAGUAAAGGGAUGAAGAAUGAUAUAUCGUGCUCAUAUUAAUCAAAAGAAAGCUGGAUUUGCUGUAUUAAUUUCACACAAAAUAAAUUCAGAACAAAGAAAAUUAUAAGAGAUAAAGAGAGGCAUUACAUAAUGAUAAAGGGGACAAUUCUCCAAAAAAGACAUAACAAGUCUUAACAAGUAUGCUUCUAAGAGCAGAGUGUCAAAAUGCAUGAAGCGAAGAUUGAUAGAACUACAAGAAGAAAUAGAUGAAUCCACUGUUACCGGUGGAGUCUUCAACACCCAUCUAUCAGUAAUUGACAUAUUCAGCAGGAAGAAAAUAAAUAAGGACAUAAUUGAAUUAAAUAACACAAUCAAUCAAUUUGAUAUAACUGACAUCUGUAGAGUACUUCGUUUAACAACAGCAGAAUACACAUUCUCCUCAAGCUCACAUGGAACAUUCACCAAGGUAGACCAUAUUCUGGGCCAUAAAACACACUUUAAGAUAUGUAAAAGAAUGGGAAUUAUACAAUGGAUGUUCUAAGACCACAAUGGAAUUAAACUAGAAAUUAAUAACAGACAGAUAGUUGGAAAUUCCAAAAUAUUGGGAGAUUAAAAAUACUUCUAAACAACAUAUGAAUCAAAGAAGUCUAAAGGGAAAUUUUAAAAUAUUUUUAACUAAAUAAAAAUGAAAAUACAACUUAUCAAAAUUUGUGGGAUGCAGCAAACAGUGCUUAGAGGGAAAUUUAUAGCACUGAAUCCAUGUAUUGGAAAGGAGAAAGAUCUAAAAUCCAUCACCUAUGCUUCCUUCUUCGGAAACCAUAAAAAAAAGAGCAAACUAAAUAUUGUCAAUAUGGCAGCUCUUCUCCACUUAUCUAUAGGUUCAAUACAAUCUCAACCAAAAUCUUAGCAAGUUAUUUUGUGAGUAUCAACAACCUGAUUCUAAAGUUUGCAUGGAGAGAUAAAUCAACCAGAAGAGUGAACACAAUAUUGAUGUAGAAGAACAAAGUCAAAGGACUGGUGCUACCUGACUUCAAAACUUACUAUAAAGCUUCAGUAAUCAAAACAGUGUGGUGCUGGUGAAAGGAUAUUCAAAUAGAUCAAUGGAACAGAAUAAAGAGCCCAGAAAUAGACUCACACUACAGUCAACUAACCUUGACAAAAGAACAAAGGCAAUUUAAUGGUGAAAGGACCUUCCUUUCAACAAAUGGGGCUGGAAACAACUAGACAUCCGCAUGCAAAGGAAUAAAUUUAGAAAGUAGAUCUUAAACCUUUCACAAAAUUAACUCAAAAUGCAUCAUAGACUCAAAUGUAAAAUACAAAAGUAUAAAAGCUUCUAGAACAUAACACAGGAGAAAAUCUAGAUGAUCUUGGGUAUGGUGACGAUUUUUUUGAUAUAACAUGCAAAAUAUAAUCCAUAACAGAAAACUUUGAUAAGCAGGACUCAUUAAAAUUAAAAACUUCUGAGAAAAAUAUUUUUCAGAGAAUGAAAUAAUAACACACAGGCUGAGAGAAAAUAGUUGCAAAAGAUGUUUCUGAUAAAGGACUGUUACCCGAAGAUAAAAACUCUUAAAACUCAACAAGAAAACAGACAAUCCAAUUUGAAAAUGGUCAAAAGAUCUGAAUAGACACCUUACCAAGGAAGAUAGACAGAUGUAAAACAUGCAAAAGGAUACUCAACAUCAUAUGCCAUUAUGAUGGAAUAGCAAACUAAAGAAGAUAUCACUACACAUCUAUAAGAAUGGCUAAAAUCCAAAAACUGAUAAUAAACACCAAAAAUUGAUAAAGAUAUGGAGCAAUAAGAACUCUCAGUCUGUGCUGGUGAGAAUGCAAAACGAGACAGUUAUUUGGGAUUUGGGGAUUUGGGAGUUUGAUUGUUUCUUACAAAACUAAGCAAACUCUUACUAUAGGAUCCAAGGAUCACUCAUGCUCUUUGGUUUCCCCAGAGUUGAAAGCUUAUGUCCAGCAGUGGAUGGAUCAGUAAAGUCCAUGCAAACAGAGGAGCUGACAGCAGGGAGGGUCUGCUCAGGAGGGAACAGAGAUAAAUUCUCCAUAGAAAGAGAGUGUGAUGAACUCAGAGCAGGCCAGAGACCUGGGUGACUACAGCUCUGGAUGCUUGGGAACAGAAAGGAAGGGGUUCGACAGUGAGAGGACCAGAGGUGACAAUCUUGGGGAAGCACAUCUGCCAGGCCAGGGGGAGACCCUGAUGAAGGUAGCUUCCUUUGAAGGCUACUAUUGAAGAGCAAGAAUGAAGCAACAGCUAGAAAUUAAAGGUCCUGCUGAAAGAAAAUGGAAUCCCAGAAUCAGAAGACACACCACACGUAUCCCCCAAACCUUACAUCUAUUAUAGUAAUUGCGUCAAAGAGAGAGAUCCAGACCUAGAAAUCCACUAAGCUACUCAAAGCACUUAUCCAUUCCCACAUAAAACUUUUAUUUCUCAUUCAGGUAAACCUAGGCAUACUGACAUGAAAUCUCCUAGCAGACAUGUAUUCCAAGGUGACAAAAGAGAACAACAGAAAUAGAGAGUCAAAGAUUUCAGCUCAUGAAACGACACCCCUCAAAAUCAAUCACAAAACAUGGGAAAACUGUAAAAUGACAUCCCUAUCUGAAGUAAAUGUUCUUAACAAAGCAUUUGUAGAUGUGACGAAAACAAAACUUAGUGUAAGAAAUACACAGUUCAAAAGAGAAGUGGACAGGAAACAGAAAGUGAGAGAAUUGGCAGAAAUUAGGAAAAAAAUUGAAGAAAAAGAAAACUCUCUGAAAAAGAGGCUAAAUGACAAUGUUCAUAAGGGCAACAUAUUUGUCUAAAAAUACUAUAAGGGAUAUUGAAUAAAGAAAUGAAAGCAUCAAAAAGAACAAAAAUGAAGAAAAGAUGCUGAGAAAGGAUCAGAGAGAAAGUCUAGAUCCCGGGGAGAAAUAUAACUGGAAUGGUCAACUCUAAGCCUAUCCUCUUAGAACUGAUAGAUUUUAAAGAAAAAGAAAAAAGGUUCCUCUGAAGUUCCAGACCUCCCUCUUGCCUCAAAGAAGCCUAUUUGCAUACAAUGGGGAGAAAAUUAAUUUACCUUCUACAACUCAACAGAACAUAUAAAGCAGGACAAUAUUUUAUAAAAACUCAAUAAAAGUCAUUGUGGGCAAGUACUUUAUAGUCACCAAGCUGUCCCUGUGUCAAGGAGUCCUGCUUCCAUCUUGAGGAGUCUUUUAAGGAUGAACUCCACCCAACGAGAGAGGACUGAGGAAAUUUGGACUUUUGAACAGCUGGUCAUCAUUGAAUAUAUAAUUGUAGAUCUAAAACAAACACCUGGGGAGAGACAAAUUGGAAAAAAAUAGUAUGUAAAUGGUAUAUGUUUGACCAGGUUGAAAUAAUACUAUGCGAAAUGGCAGUUACAUAAGGAAGAAAAAGAAAAAGAAUAAAUGCCUUUGAUUGUCAUAGUCGUAAAACUUUGCAGUUAAAAGAUGUCAUUUAAAACUUAUAAACCAAAUAUUAGAAAUUUGACAAGUUAAUAAGGGACUAAGACAUCAAAAAAUUUUAGUGCGAUGUAGAACACUAGCUAUACAACUCUUCCUAAAUACAAAGAGCACACGCAUGCAUACAUAACCACAUAUAUACACAAAGAAACAUGGAGAAGGAGAUAUAGUAAACAAAAUCUACUAUGUUUAAUAUAGCCUAAAAGGUAUUGGAGAGUGGUGGAUAUAAAUAUGAAUAAGAGAAAAAAAUGAUGAUUUAUAAUAUUGAAUUUAAAAAGUUCACGAGUCCACAGUGACAGUCAAAACAAAAAUUUCAAUGGUAUAGAAAAGGGAGGGAAUCUUCUUUUUCACGGCACAAUGCCAGCAAA